CUGGCGGCGUGCUUAACACAUGCAAGUCGAACGAUGAUCCUCAGCUUGCUGGGGGGAUUAGUGGCGAACGGGUGAGUAACACGUGAGUAACCUGCCCUUGACUCUGGGAUAAGCCUGGGAAACCGGGUCUAAUACUGGAUAUGACCUUCUGGCGCAUGCCAUGUUGGUGGAAAGCUUUAUUGCGGUUUUGGAUGGACUCGCGGCCUAUCAGCUUGUUGGUGGGGUAAUGGCCUACCAAGGCGACGACGGGUAGCCGGCCUGAGAGGGUGGACGGCCACACUGGGACUGAGACACGGCCCAGACUCCUACGGGAGGCAGCAGUGGGGAAUAUUGCACAAUGGGCGCAAGCCUGAUGCAGCGACGCCGCGUGGGGGAUGAAGGCCUUCGGGUUGUAAACCUCUUUCAGUAGGGAAGAAGCGAAAGUGACGGUACCUGCAGAAGAAGCGCCGGCUAACUACGUGCCAGCAGCCGCGGUAAUACGUAGGGCGCAAGCGUUAUCCGGAAUUAUUGGGCGUAAAGAGCUCGUAGGCGGUUUGUCGCGUCUGCCGUGAAAGUCCGGGGCUUAACUCCGGAUCUGCGGUGGGUACGGGCAGACUAGAGUGAUGUAGGGGAGACUGGAAUUCCUGGUGUAGCGGUGAAAUGCGCAGAUAUCAGGAGGAACACCGAUGGCGAAGGCAGGUCUCUGGGCAUUAACUGACGCUGA
rnacentral:rRNA from 1 species